rnacentral:rRNA from 1 species
CACACUAACUAUUCUAGCGGCGGACGGGUGAGUAACGCGUGAGCAAUCUGUCCCAGACAGUGGAAUAACAGAUGGAAACAUCUGCUAAUACCGCAUAAGACCACGGCUUCACAUGGAGCUGAGGUAAAAGGAGAAAUCCGGUUUGGGGUGAGCUCGCGUCUGAUUAGCUAGUUGGAGGGGUAAUGGCCCACCAAGGCAACGAUCAGUAGCCGGCCUGAGAGGGCGAACGGCCACACUGGAACUGAGAUACGGUCCAGACUCC